CUCCUCUUCUGACUUUGUAUCUCUUCCCCUUUCUUCUUAGCUUUAGGUUGUAAUUUCUCUUCUCAUCUACUCUUUGUUUCCUUUAGUGUUGUCGUUUUUUAUUGUUCGAUUAAUAUUUGGUUAUUGUAAUUCGGUUUAGUGAGUUAAUAUAAUUAGUUAGUUUUGGUGUAAUAUCCAGUUUGUUCAUUGGUGAUUUCAUCCAGAGGUCUUCAAUGGAGGACCAAAUCUUUCAAACUAUCGAUGAUUCAAUUAAGGACGUGAAGGAUUCAUGGUCGAAGGAUAUCGCUGAAGUU
rnacentral:lncRNA from 1 species